rnacentral:rRNA from 1 species
GACGAACGCUGGCGGCGUGCUUAACACAUGCAAGUCGAACGGUAAGGCUCUUCGGAGUACACGAGUGGCGAACGGGUGCGUAACACGUGACCAACCUACCCUUAACAUCGGGAUAACAUUUGGAAACAGAUGCUAAUACCGGAUACGAACUUGGAAGGCAUCUUCUGAGUUGGAAAGCUCCGGCGGUUAGGGAUGGGGUCGCGGCCUAUCAGCUUGUUGGUGAGGUAAUGGCUCACCAAGGCGACGACGGGUAGCCGGCCUGAGAGGGCGACCGGCCACACUGGGACUGAGAUACGGCCCAGACUCCUACGGGAGGCAGCAGUGGGGAAUAUUGCACAAUGGGCGCAAGCCUGAUGCAGCAACGCCGCGUGCGGGAUGACGGCCUUCGGGUUGUAAACCGCUUUCAGCAGGGACGAAGUGAAAAUGACGGUACCUGCAAAAGAAGCAUCGGCCAACUACGUGCCAGCAGCCGCGGUGAUACGUAGGAUGCGAGCGUUGUCCGGAAUUAUUGGGCGUAAAGAGCUUGUAGGCGGUCUGUCGCGUCGAAAGUGAAAACUCAGGGCUCAACCCUGAGCCUGCUUUCGAUACGGGCAGACUAGAGGAAGGUAGGGGAGAAUGGAAUUCCCGGUGGAGCGGUGGAAUGCGCAGAUAUCGGGAGGAACACCAAUGGCGAAGGCAGUUCUCUGGACCUUUCCUGACGCUG